ACUCAGUCGUUUUCAACCGACCCGGACCCACGCACAGGCUUUCAUGGUUUGCGCGCGCGAAGCACAAAGGCAAUGGAACUAUUCCAUAUAUCAAUUGGUUCAUGUUUAACAUCAAUUCAGUGUUAAAAUCAGAAUCAAUGGAGAAAUUUUCCCUCAAUUUACCGUUUACUGGAAUUCCCCGUGAGAUUCUGAGCCCCCACUUGUUCUAUAAUCUUCUAGAUAGAAUCACUCUCAAAACAAAGCAUGAAUUUGCCAAAUCAGUAGACGUUUGCUCGAUCUAUUUUGAUUCGCAACCCCUAACAACUUUUCCUAGCAUGUGUGGCAUUUCUAUUUGAAUGAGAUGUUGAGAGCUGAUUCUCCAUGAUGAACGGUCCAAUUCAAAUCUACCGGUGCGAUGUAUGUAUAAUGUAUAUGCUUUUUUGAAUCAGCCACCUCAAAGAAUUGAUUGUUUUCUUCUUUAAAAAAAUAGGGGUCAAUCUAGGCAAAGAUACAGCCAGUGUCAAUGGAUCACCGCGGUCUAUCAUCAGACGAUGAAAAUGACGGUAUUGUACAUGUGGUUGUCUCUUUCUACUGUUUGGAAAUUGCAAAAAGUGUGUGCUGAAUGGUGGGCACUGCACUACUGCAUCAAGUAGAAAAUGACAAGGAUUUGUUAUAUUCAAGAAUCCACUCAUAGAUAGAGUGGCCCUUCUCCAAAUAUUUUACUCAAUUUGUCAGAGAGUUAGUUUGAUCUAAGCAUGUAUUAGUCUGUUAAAAUUGGUUAUCUGUCUUGAUCUCUGACCCCUCCUUUUCCAUAACACCAAGCUUCGUUGUUGUCGAAUUCUGAUUUGUUCUUCGUGUUUGUCCUGUUGUGAAAUUAGGUUCCUGAGAAUUCAUUCAUGAUGCAAGUGGUGCAUGUUAGUUUUCUGGUCUUCUCUAAAUAAGUGAUGCUUGAUGAGGCAUUAUUGUUUGAUUUUUCUUCAAGAUUCAUGCUAUAUUUUUUUUGAAUACACAGUGUAGGAUAUAUGGGACAGUCUUUUAGUGAAUACUCAUCUUCCUUGGGCUGCAAAUGUUAUCAUAUGGGGAGGGUUGUGUCCUUAUACUGCUGAGGAGAUUUAAUCAGAAGACUCACUGUGAUUAACUGAAAUUAUAACUGACAUAGAGGAAAAGAAAAAGAGUGGACUGGAAUUGAUUAGACAUUUAUACCUUUGCUGGGGUUCACUAUCUCGCGCAUCUUGGAUUAUUCAGUUUCCCAAGAGGUGCUUUCUUUUUGUGGAUAAUGUAUUUUGCAGGAAGUUGUAAAUCUAAAGCAAUUAGAGGAUUCAUAUGCCCCACAUAGAUCCACAUUCUGUUGGCAAAUGCUGGUUGGUAUGAGAGAGAGAGAGAGAGAUCACCUUUAGAGUGAUGGGGUGUGAUACCCGUUGAAGAAAGGGCUGCGAAGAGAAAGAUGGAUAAAUUGUA